UCUCCGUUGGUGAACCAGCGGAGGGAUCAUUACCGAGUUUGCAACUCCCAAACCCCUGUGAACAUACCUAUCGUUGCCUCGGCGGUGCCCGCUCCGGCGGCCCGCCAGAGGACCCCCAAACUCUUGCUUUAUACAGUAUCCUCUGAGUAACACGAUUAAAUAAAUCAAAACUUUCAACAACGGAUCUCUUGGUUCUG
rnacentral:misc_RNA from 1 species